UCAGGUGUAUAAAUCUGCCACGGUGAUCUAAGAAAGUAGGUGAGACCUUCGAUGGCAUUGAAUGGAAAAUCAAGGAGAGCUUUCAAUACAUCGACAUCGUAGAAAAUAGAAUGAUCCAGUUUUGGUCAUCAUACUAUCGUCCUGGAUUUAGGAUUUAUAAUAAAUUGGUAAACCUGGUUUUCCAAACUCUUCUUCAUCAGUGUCCAUAUCCAGAUACUCUCUGUGCGGAUCAGCCGGAGGUUUUUCCAUUUUCUUAAUUCUUUCAGUUGCUUUCUCAAUUUCAUUUGGAGUAUCUCGUUUCCCCAACAUUGCGAGUAACCAGAACUAAAAACUAUUUGCAAACUUAAUCAUGACACCCUAAUAUCAAUAAAUAGACUAAAAACGUCUGAAACUGACUAGUCCAGAUUGUGGAAAAAUUG
rnacentral:lncRNA from 1 species